UUGCAUAAUUCAGUGGAAAAUGAAUAGAAAUCUUAUUCUGUAAGACUAAAUAUUUUAAUAACAUGUGAUAAUUAAUCAUUAUUUCUUCAAAUAUGCGCACCAUUGUACUAAUAGCCCUAGCGGGUUCUGUAUAUUUUAUGUAUUUGAAUACAAAUAAUCCGGAGAAGACGAGAAUGAAUGUUUUAUGAGUGAUGAUUUCUAUUCAAAAUAACGAACGUUACAGAUUAAUUAUUUUGCACUCCUGGCAUAAAUUUAGAAAUUAAUGUCACUGCAAACCAGUUUAAUAACAAACAGUGGUCAAAUGUCGAAGCUGGAGUCUUAAACCUGUCUUGUGAUGCUGAGUUUGUCCAGAUCAAGUAAGAGUGUGAUGUUUUGAAGAGUAAUGAAUUUUGAACAACAAUAAUCCGGGAUCACCAGUGAUCCCUGCCGCCCUCAAGGAAUGAAUUUUUUAUAAGCGGUGAUGAAGCUCUGUUUUGUUAAACACAGCAAACACUUAAAGCGAAAACUACCAUUAACUUGUUUAGAAAAUUAAAAUAGUCUGGCGAGGUGGAGCCACGGGUUGUCACAUUCCCAGGAUGGACCUGCUGUGUCUUCAUCCAUUUUUUGUCCAUGGUUUCUUCUCUUAUCUAAAUCUGACUAUUGGGACUUUGGCGGAAAGCUGAAGGUGAUAGCUGAUAGGCUGUCCCAAUCAGUGGCGCCUGCACAAUCCAAUCACGUUUGAGAAAAGGGAAACAACAAAUCAAGUGUUUCUGAGAUUUUUCUUUUUUCCUUUUUUUUAGAAGAAGUAACUUGUACUCACGGUUAUGGAUAGAAAUGUAGUGGAGUAAAGAGUACAAUAUUUGCCUCUCAAAUGUACUUGAGUAAAGUCAUGAGUACUCCACAAAAAUAAUACUCGAGUAAAGUACAGAUCCCUCAAAAUUGUACUUAAGUACUGUACUCAAGUAAAUGUACUCCGUUACUGUCCGGCUCUGAUAAGCAGUAACUUAUACAUGUAAGUUAACAAUGCACAGUAGGCUAUACACAAUACUGCAGCAGCAGCAGUAUAAGGCAAGUUACUGCUUAUAUAAUAGAUAAUGUUAGUAUAAAAUACAGCAUGGCAUGUGGUUCUUGAAUAUAUUUGUAAUAUUACUUUUCUCCCCCAGUAACAUCUUUGAAGGUUUCAUGAAAUUCAGUCUGGCUCGAUCCGCUUGGUAGCAAUGGUCCAGGUGAUGCUGUAAGGAAGGUUUUGCAAGUUGCCACAUACAAUGGAUCGAAAGGGAAAGAAAUACCUUUGGCACUGUGAUUAUUUUGUAGGCCGUCUCAAUCUGAUGUUCCAGCUGUGAUGCCUUCAUUGCAGACACCUUAAAGUAUGUUCCACAUCGAGGAACAAGGGUAAGUCAUAUUCUGACUACACAAAGCUUAAUGCAAAUCGGUGAAGUGUCCCUUUAAUGGCGCACUCCGAUUAUUAGCAUCAGUUUUAAGAAGGUUGUGGUCAUGACAGUGUUGCCUUCUAAAUCAGCUUCUUUUUUGUCCACAAAUCAAGUGACUUUUAAUAAAUGAGUAAAAAUGAACAAAUAAAAGAGUAAACUAUUGCCCCGCCUAAGACUAUCUCUUUAACCAAGCAUUUACCUAAUUCAUCUCCUAUACAUACUUAUGCCGCAUCUAUUAUACUGUAUGAACUAGGGGUGUCACGAUUUCGAUUUUAAAUCGAAAUCGAUCGAAAUUAUGUCACAGCUUCGAACUUCGAAUUAAAAAAUGGGAUCGUCGAUGCUGCCACGCCCCCAUUUCACGUCCGGUCGGCUUGCCAAGCGAGGAAAAAAACUCUCAGAGAUGCCUUUAAAAACAUCUGUCCAGCGGAACGCGAUCAUAUUUUAAACACGAGGGAUGCUACAACUUCUUGAAAUGCAUAUCAUAAACAGGAUUAACAGUGAUCUGACUUUGGACAUAGUGCAGCUCUCUGCACGUGCGCGAUAGUGAGGGAGGCGCAAAGAUGCAGCGGGUUAUAUUUUAAACAAAAGGAUAGUUUGCCUCAGCUUGCAUGAAACGCAUAAAACUGAACAAAUACGUAAGGAUUACUACUUUAGUUUAUGUUCAGACUUCGGACAGAUGCGACCACGUGCACGUGAGACAGAGAGAAGCGCAGCUGCUUAUUAUGCUGGAUUUAUUUCAGAUGCUAUGAGUCCAAGACACGCGCAUUAAGUCCAUGUUAGAGAUGCGCGGAUGGACUAUUAUUUCAUAGCCUGCACUGGUGUCAUCCUGAUUUACCACGUUGUAAAACUUAUUCCAGGCAACCCUUUCUGACAUUAUAUUUCCUUUGUUUUUAAUUCUCAUUUUUUGAGUUUGCCACGUAACUCCUUCGCCAGCGUUGAUAAGAGCUGUGUCAAAAUGCGCCCUCAUUUCUCCGCGCUGUUAAUGAUAGAACGAAUGGAUCCUUAACAGCCGAGGAUAUCCCAAACAAUUAAAAGCUUUAUUAAAUAAAACUGUGUAUUUAUUAGAAAACUUUUUCUUGUCACUGUUUUAGUAUUAUAAGUUAUGUUUUGUGUAAAUAUUAUUCUGUUUAUGUUGCGUAUAUUUCUAGGUUGAUUAUUUGAUAUGCUGUUAAAUAGAUUAAUCUACAUCAAUGUGUCAAAUAAAUUAAUAUUUUUCUGAUUACAUAUUAAAAUAAAUAAGUCAGAAAUGUCUCCGCUGUUUUCUGCUGACAGGCGCGGUGGGCGCUACUGGGGGCGUGUGCAGCAGGUGACGCAAAUUUUGGGUCCUCAGAAGGCUAGGCCGUCUCAUUUCAGUUCUCUUCUUGAACUUCUGAGGCUGCCACUAUGAAAGACAGAGAUGUCGCAUGCUUAGAAGGACAGAGCUAAUAACAAGCAGUCGAUCCGGCACCCGCCCGAAGUUAAUUAAAAUAUAAUUUUUCGUCACGUCAUCCGCCCGAUCCAUGUAACUGCCAACCGCGCAUAGUCCAUGUGCGUGCAAGAAGGAAUCCUCUCUCUACAAGCUCUCGCGUUAAGUGAAGCCCACAAACCCCCAUGCGAGUUUUGCAAUGUGCAUGUUAAUGUUAAAGUAUUAUAAUAAUAAUAAUAAUAAAUAAUGGCAUAUCAUUUUUGUCUAAAUUAUAUGCCAUAUAAAAAAUAUGUAAAAAUCGAGAAUCGGAUCGAAUCGUGACCUUAGAAUCGAAAAUGUAAUCGAAUCGAGGAUUUGGAGAAUCGUGACACCCCUAGUAUGAACACUACAUUUGAUGGGCCUCUUUACUAAUUGCACCUUGUUUCUGUUUCCCUGUCUCGCCCUCGUUCACCGAGGAAAUCUGAGACGGACAGGUCCAAUUCCAAUUUGGAGGGAUGCUCAUCCCACCAUUCAUCCGCUUGAUGCCCAUCCUCAUGCUGCUAAAUUGAUGACUGCUCACAUAUACUCACCGGCCACUUUAUUAGGUACAGCUUACUAGUACUGGGUUGGACCCCCUUUUGCCUUCAGAACUGCCUUAAUCCUUCGUGGCAUAGAUUCAACAAGGUACUGGAAAAAUUCCUCAGAGGUUUUGGUCCAUAUUCACAUGAUACCAUCAUGCAGUUGCUGUAGAUACGUUGGCUACACAUCCAUGAAGCGAAUCUCCAGUUCCACCACAUCCCAAAGGUGCUCUAUUGGGUUGAGAUCUGGUGACUGUGGAGGCCAUUUAAGUACAGUUGAACUCACUGUCAUGUUCAAGAAACCAGUCUGAGAUUAUUUAUUCUGCCGGAAGUAGACAUCCGAAGAUGGGUACAUGGUGGUCAUAAAGGGAUGUACAUGGUCAGAAUCAAUGCUCAGGUAGGCUGUGGCAUUGACACGAUGCUCAAUUGGUACUAAUGGGCCCAAAGCGUGCCAAGAGAAUAUCCCCCACACCAUUACACCAGCACCAGCAGCUUGAACAUUGAUACAAGGCAGGAUGGAUCCACAUUCUCAUGUUGUUGACGCCAAAUUCUGAUCCUACCAUCAGAAUGUCGCAGCAGAAAUCGAGACUCAUCAGAGCAGGAAACGUUUUUCCAAUCUUCUUUUGUCCAAUUUUGGUGAGCUUGUGCGAAUUGUAGCCUCGUUUUCCUAUUCUUUACUGUUAGGAGUGACACCCGGUGUUGUCUUCUGCUGCUGUAGCCCAUCAGCCUCAAGGUUCGGCGUGUUGUGGGUUUAGAGAUGCUCUUCUGCAUACCUCACAUUUUUAUUUUGCUUUUACCUCCAUUGUACCGAACUGUGACUCCUGAAUAUAUAUAUAUAUAUAUAUAUAUAUAUAUAUAUAUAUAUAUAUAUAUAUAUAUAUAUAUAUAGCAUAGUAUAUACUAAAUUCUAUACUACAUUACCGUAACAUAUGUUGUAACUGAAAUUAAUAACAGGGUCUCUUUCCUUGGUUACAAACUGCACCACACUACAGCUGUAACAUGUAAGAUGGGAACUGCACCUUCUGGCUAAGCCUGGUUUUCUCACUGGGUUUUUAUUUCUGUCUCCCUGAAGAAGUUUCCCCCUUGACCAAUGUUUCUGUGUGGCUUGCUUACUAGGAAACUGCUGAUAUUAACCUUAUAACGUCUUUAGAAAAUUAUGUUAAUACUGGUAUAUAGUUUGGAGUUGGAGUACAUUACAUACACUGUUCUAUCACUGUUCUAUUACUGUAUGUUCAUAAUUUAGCUUGGAAUGGAGUAAUUCUUAUAUUAUUUAUAUAAGAAAUAACUCCAUGUAACCUCAAAUACUCCAUCCUUAACUGUAUUUAAAACUUUGAGGUUCUUUGCUUUUCUGUGUCGUCUUAUAUUCUAUUACAUGUACAUAUGAUUUGGUAUGAUGAACUAUUGUGAAAAGCACUGUAUAAAUAUAAUUGAAUUGAAUUAAAUUGAUGUUUGUUAAACAUUUUUGCAAGGAUAUUGUACUAAGACAUAAAGUUGGUGAAAUGCUCAAAAAUGUUUUGUAACCUUUAAAUAAUGGAAAGUAAGAAAGCUGGAUAUUGUAUUGUUUUGGAUUAUAAAAAUUAAUGUUUAAAGAAUGUUAUAUUUGUGAAAAUAAAGUUUUGAAAAUA